GGGGGUCGGGGGGGGGGUGCUGCGGCGGGCGGGAGGCGCCCCGGGCACCCUGCGGACCCGCACCUUUUCCGUGCCUGCUUUGAGAGAGACCCGGAGACUCGCCCGCUGGUCUGGGCUGCAAGGACAGUGGAAGCAUUAUUCACCAGAGCCAGAAUCUGGAAACAACCUGAGCGCCUGAGAACAGACAAAUGGAUAAAGAAAACUAUGGCACAUCUAUACAAUGGAAUACUAUGCAGCUGUUACAAAAAAAAUGAGGUCAUGAAAUUUGCCUAUAAAUGGAUGGAGUUGGAGAGUAUCAUGCUGAGUGAAAUGAGUCCGAGGGAGAGGGACAGAUAUAGCAUGACUGCAUUCAUUUGUGGGAUAUAAAAUACAGCAGUAUGAAACUAAUAACCAAGACCAGGGAAAAUGGGCCAGGAGGACUGGUCGAUGGUUGGUCAAUGGUGUGGGAGAUGGAGGGUAGUUAAGAUAGAGGAGGGUCCAUUAUGACAGUACUUUUUUUUUUUUUUUGCUUUUUGGGUCACACCCAGUGAUGCACAGGGGUUAAUCCUGGCUCUGCACUCAGGAAUUACUCCUGGUGGUGCUCAGGGGACCAUAUGGGAUGCUGGGAUUUGAACCCGGUUUGGCCGAGUACAAGGCCCUACCCGCUGUGCUAUCGCUCCAGCCCUGAUGACAGUACUAGUUGGAAAUGAUCCCUCUGGAUCUGGACAAGAACUGUGUUGAUAGCAGGUAAAGGGAUAUACGUGAUAACCUUUCAGCAUCUUUAUUGCAAACCACAAUGCCUAAAGUAAGAGAGAAAAGAGAAAGAGAAGAGAGGUGUCUGCCAUAGAGGCAGGCUGGGAUGAGUGGAGGGGUUUGGGACACACCACAGGUGACCCCUGGCAGUGCUCAGACCACAUGUAGUGCCAGAAUUCAAACCAGCUGGUGGAAUGUGGGGCAGGUGCCCUAACCCCUGUAUUAUCUCGCUGGCUCCCCGACGUCCUGUGAAACCGGCUCUCCCCAGCCCCCUAUGAGUCACCGGCUAUUUCUGUCAGCUGAGCCAAUAAAUUCCUUUUCUUAA